rnacentral:rRNA from 1 species
UACGGGGGGGGGCAAGCGUUGUUCGGAAUUACUGGGCGUAAAGGGCUCGUAGGCGGCCAACUAAGUCGGAUGUGAAAUCCCCAGGCUUAACCUGGGAACUGCAUCCGAUACUGGAUGGCUUGAAUCCGGGAGAGGGAUGCAGAAUUCCAGGUGUAGCGGUGAAAUGCGUAGAUAUCUGGAGGAACACCGGUGGCGAAGGCGGCAUCCUGGACCGGCAUUGACGCUGAGGCGCGAAAGCCAGGGGAGCAAACGGG